rnacentral:rRNA from 1 species
UACGUAGGGGGCUAGCGUUGUCCGGAAUCAUUGGGCGUAAAGAGCGUGUAGGCGGUUCGGUAAGUCCGCUGUGAAAGUCCAGGGCUCAACCCUGGAAUGCCAGUGGAAACUGCCGAGCUAGAGUCCGGAAGAGGCGAGUGGAAUUCCUGGUGUAGCGGUGAAAUGCGCAGAUAUCGGGAGGAACACCUGUGGCGAAAGCGGCUCACUGGACCACAACUGACGCUGAGGCGCGAAAGCUAGGGGAGCAAACAGG